AAAAAAUCGAGCUGGGGGGUUCCCUGGUCCCCGGCGUUGGGGCGGGGAGCGCUGCGCCGAGGGAGGGGGCGGCGCAGACCGGCCUAGGGGACACCUGGCCGAGCGCAGCUGCCACUCCGCUCGAGCCCUGCGCUCCAGUGUCCCCACUGGCUGGAGAGCUCGCCCCGACCGGGGGUCUUCCUCCGCCGCUGACAGUUACUUGGUAAAUGAGCUUAACUAUGUCCAGGGAACUACAAUUACCACAUUUCUUUGAAUAAUCAAGGUAAAUAAUAUAUUCUCUAUAAUCUGAUAUAUUUUACAAUUCUCCUUAAGCUUCUGUUAUCUACGUAUCUUUAGUGUUAGGUUAAAUAUGCUUCCUUUUUAGAGACAGAAAUGGUGGUUGGGCUACUUUAAUAAAUUCAUGUUCUCCUAAAGCGAUUCAAAAUACUUUUGUAGUUGCAUAAUUAUACUUAUGAGUCAAAAGCACUAUAAAUUCAUAAUAUACACAUUUAAAAAUAAGUACAGCCAGGGGCUGGAGAGAUGGCUGAACUGUUAAGAGCAUGUACAAUUCUUCCAGGGUACUGGAGCUUGCUUCUCAGCACCUAUACUGGGAAAACUUGAAUUUGCCUGUUACUCCAAUUCCAAGGAUAUCUGAUACCUCUGGCCUCUAAGGCACCUACAUAUGUGAGCUCCUGUGCGAACACACACACACACACACACACACACACACACACACACACACACACACACGAUUAAACAUAAUAAAAAUAGAUUUUAAAAAUCAAGUAUACCCAUAUAGUGAACAAAUAGAUAUUUAUGAACCCUUUGUGAGUCACUUAGUGAUUCUUUUUUGAAAUAGCUUCUUAAAAAGCCCUUUUGUUUUUAAAGUUUCUUCUACAGCAGUGAUUAUUUUUUUAAUGGACACAGCAUUCACAAUACAUUAACAUACUUUGUUAUCAGGCCCCAAACAGUUCAACUUCUCUGUGACUUCACAGCUACCAUGGAGGCAGCCCAGGGGAGCUUAAGUAAACACUUUCAGAUGACAUAAUGCAGUCCUGAAGGAGGGACAACCUCAACUGAAAUGUACCACAUAGAUUUGCAUACACUGUUUUCCCCUAUGCCAGGAUGCUUUCGAUCCUGGUGUGAGGGCUAUUCUUGGUUGCCAACUUGACUACAUCUGGAAUUAACUAAAACCCGGGAUUUUCUUUCUUAAUUAAAUCAUUUGAGGUGAAAUGAUUUCUAAUCUACUGCUAAUACAGAUCUUUGAGAUGGGAAGAUACACAUCAAUCCAGAUAUUUUGAGGCUGGAAGAGCCACCUUUAAUCUGGGCCACAUGUUCUGCUAGCAGCCUAUAAAGAGGACAUAGAAAAGGGAAGCUUGCUCCUUCUCUUUGCCUGCUUCCUCUUCCUCUCCCUAGUAAGUUGAUUAAGUUGAUUCCUUCACUGGCAUUAGUCAGCUGAGACAUCCACCCUCAUGGACUGAACAAUUACUGGACUCCUGGGUCUUCCAUUUGUAAACAGCCAUUGUUGGCCUAACUAGAGCUCGGCCUGUAAGGCAUUCUAUAUAUACACACAUUUAUAGAUUGAUUCUGUAAGUUCUAUUCCUCUAGAGAACCCUCACUAAUACAGAUUUUGGCACCAGAAGUGGUUCUAGAGCAAACAGAAGUAUAAGGAUGAAUUUUUUAAAUAUCUGGACUAGGCUUCGCAAAUUGCCAACACCUACAGUUAUAGAAGCCUCUUCAAUCACCGAAGCCAGUCCUGGAAGCUUGGAGAGAGUACUGAAAGCCUAUGGUAUGAACUGUUUUACAGACUUAAGGAGACAAAUGCAUUGGAUUAUCCUGAUUCACCAUGUGUGAGAGGCAUCGGAUUUGGUGAGUCUGUAUGUAUAUAAAACUUUUGACAAUUUGUGGAAAACCAAGGAAAAUGAUGACACUGCUGGUUACUCAUAGCAUCUCUGGGUAAAUUGCCAAAGGAAAAGAAUGAGCUCUGUGAUCAAAUUAACCAACUUCUAGCUUUCAGAAAAUAUGAAGGACAGCAAUGAACUCAUCAAUAGCAACAAUAAAAUAAAAUAGCAACAAUAUUCUAGCUACUGAUAAUUAAGAGCCAAGUAGGGCCUAACUUUGUUGAAUAGAAUAACUCAAACUCCUUAUGUUAUUUGCCUUUACCUUUCUGUGAGUUCAAAAUACAAUUUGGAGUGUUUGCAAUAUGUACCUGUGUGUGCACCCAAGCAAGUGCAUGUGGAGCUCAGAAGAGAGCAUUGGAUAGCUUCUAAUGCCCUCUAACAGUCUCUCACUGAACUUAAAGCUAGCCUUUUUGGCAAGACUGGCUAACUAGCAUGUUCCCAGGAUCUGCUGUCUCCACAUGCCAACAUAGGGUUCAAGGCAGUGUGCUAAUCCCCAGUUUUGACAUGAGUUCUGGAGAUUGACUCGGGCCCUCUUGCUUGGAUAGCAAAUACUCUCUCGCCUGCUGAGCCAUCUCCCCAGGUCCUACAGUUUAUUUUUUGAAAGGAGUAUUUCCAAAAUCAAUUAAAAUACAUAUUUCCUCAUCGUGUGAACAAGGACUUAGGUUAAGCAUAAACCUUGAUGUGUCCUUUACGAAUAUGACCAAAAAUUCAUGGAUGGGUAUUUGGAGAGAAACUGAAAGAAAUUGCUGAGCAUUUAGGAAAAUAUUUCUGUGCCACAAAUGACCUUAGUUACUUGAAAAAUAAAAAAAAAAAUGCUGUUAUCUGCAUGUUUCAAAAUUAGAAUCACCUUCAAGAAAAGCAUGGUUAUGAGAUGUUUUAUAAAGUUUGAUUCUUUUCUGUUAUCUUGAUUUCAUUGGUCAUUGGCUCUGAUCUAUAUUUAAAAUUUUGAUGUUCUCAACAAACCUUAGCUCCCAUAUCCUGCUUCCUGAGUCAUCGCUUCAUUUCUGCUCUUUAUUGAUGCUUUUUUCCCAACAGAGGCUCCCAGGUGUGCUUAUUUGCCUUUUUCUUGUGUAUAUAUAUGUGUGUGUGUGUGUCUGUGUGUGUGUGUGUGUCUGUGUGUGUGUGUGUGUACAGAUAUAUAUGCCUUUUGCACUUUCUUUUUUUAUUUGGAUGUGUGUUUGUGUCUGUGCAUGUGUUUGUGUGUGCUUUGGACCACACGUGAAGGUUGGAGGACAGCUUGCAGGAGUCAGUUCUCUUCCUUCCACCAUGUGGAAGGGAUUAAACAUGUGGGUCCUGGGGAUUAAACAGGUAUCAGGCUUGGCAGCAAGCACCUUUACUCACAGAACCAUUGUGCUGGCUACUUUUUCAUCAAUUCUUGGGUUACUUAGAUGUAACAGUUUAGGGUUGUGCUGCCUUUAAUGAAAACUGCAGUUUAUUAUUUAUUUUGCUUUCUGAUGAAUGUUGCUUAGAGGAAGGAUAAGGUCAGCAUAAUGUCCUCCUUUCUUGUAAGGAGGGUUCUGGGUUCUGGGUUCUGGAUUAUGGGUUCUGCCCAGAGGUCUGAAAAGAUUUUCCUUCAUUUCUUAUGAUCAUCUGCUUAUCCACAGCCAGGUAUUGGAGCACAUGCCUAGAAUCCUAGCUCUCAAAAUAUACAGGCAGGAGGAUCAAGAGAUCAAGGUCAAAAUCAGCCUGGACUACAUGAGACCUUAUUUUACUGAAACAAAAGUAGUUUAAUCAGGAUAUGCCUCAAAUUUGAAGAUUACAUGCCCAUUUUCUUUGAACAUUUCCUGCAGAUCUAAUUCUCUCCCUAGUUUUGGGAAAUUCUCUUCUAUUCCAUCUUAAAGUACAAUUUUUUUAUUUCAUUUAUUGCAUUAUAUACUAGAUGAGUGAAACUAUUAUUGUAUCACUUUUGUAUCACUUGGAUAAUGUCUUCUUUGCAGUUACUUUGGUCUGUUUCCUUCUGUAUUUAUUGCAAUUCCUGCAGUUCCUUAACUUUACCUGUUUCCUGAAACUUACUGAGGGCCUGCUGUCUGUGCCAGACACCUUUGCCUCUGUAAUGUUUAUAUUGCAGUGACAAAACAGUUGAGUGUGACAGGGAGUGGUGGUAAGAACUCAGAUUAAAAAAAAAAAAAAAACAAGAAGGCAGAAGAUAACUUACAGUGGUUCUCAACAUGUGGGGCGUGACCUCCAUAGGGGUCACAUAUUAGAUAUUUACAUUACAAUUCAUAACAAUAGCAAAAUUACAGUUCUGAAGUAACAACAAAAUAGUUUUAUGGCCGGGGUCACCACAACAUGAGGAACUAUAAAGGGUAGCAGCAUGGGGAAGGUUGAGCACCACUGCUUUAGAGUUGUUAGAAGGCUAUAAAUCUGAAUUUGAGAAGAGAACUGAAUAAAGAGAGGUAGUGAACUAGGCAAAGACCCAGGCAACUUAGACCCUGAGAAUAGCAUCUGAAAAGGCCCAAGGGAAAGCAUCGUGUUAAAGGCAAAGGGAGGAGACCCAGGCCAGUGUCAUGCUCAGUGGUAGAGUGCUUGCUUAGCAUGUAUGAAGUCCUGAGUCCAAGCCUCAUAACAACAAUAAUAACUUUUUAAAAGUCAAAUGAGUUACAAAAUUUGGGAAAAGAUGGGAGAUGAGACUAGAGAAAUAGGCUUAAUCACAGAAGUUGUAGGCCAUAGAAAAUUUUGAGUUUUGUCCUAAAUGUGAGAAACACACAGAUGGCUGCUGCUAAAUAUUUCAAGAGCAGCCACAGAGUAGAAAGAUUGUAACCUGCCAGGGAAUAUUAGCACACAUCUUCAAUCCAAGCAUUUGGGAUUAGGAGCGGGGCAGUAGCAGGAGAAUCUCUGAGUCUGAGGUCAAUCUGGUCUACAUAGUGAGUUCAGGAACAUAGUGAAACCAUGUCUCAGGGCAGGGAGAUGGAAGGAGGAGAAGGAUUUGUUCAAGCAGGUAUGGGACUGAAAAAGGAAAACAUUGCCAAAGUAAUGGAGCAACCUCUGUUAGCAGUUACUAUUCUUGCUCCUGGGAAAAUGGGGAGGGGGCAGGGAAGAGUGCUUGCCACUUGUUGCCCCUGUACUUCAGAGGAUAGCUGGGGUGAUGCUUUAGGGGAUUGGAAAUGAAGCAGUACUCACCUCUCCUUAUUCUUCAUUGAUGGGACACAAAAGGAAUUCAGUUGGAAAAGUGGAAGUAGAAUUUUCGGAGCACCAACCACAGCAACACAGAAACAAUCUAAAAGGGUUUGUUGCUAAGAGGCAACAGUAAACUGGCACAAAGAAGAGUAAAUGGUGAUCUCUGGCUUGUUGUUUCUUUAACCUAGCCACUUGUUUAAUAUUGUGACAUCUGAUAAGAUAAAGAGGAAAGUGAAUUAUGAUGAUAAUGAUGAGUUCAGAAGUUACUUAUUAGACAUUUAAGUGGAGUUGUUGGCCAAACCAAUGAAGUAGAAUCCAGAACCCCACAGAUGGAUCAGAGACAGAACAUUAAUUCUAAGACUCCUAAAGGCUCACAAAACACAACAUGGCAAAUGUGGAUGAGAUGACCUUGGGGCAGGAUGAACCUCUACAAAUAGGAAACAAAACUUUGGACUAUAUUCCUGGUGGCUCCUGACUAGAAUGGGGGUGGGGGGAUGUCCCCAAACAAUGGUGAAGAGGAAUAUUAUCUAGAAAAGAGUUUGUAAUGGUUACUUUUCUAUUGCUGUGAUAAAACACUAUGACUAAGGCAACUUAUAAAACUGUUUAAUUGGCCUUCCAUUUCCAGGGGACCCCAGGAAUACACAUGGUACUGAACAUCCAAGGAGGCAAAACACCUAAAUCUAAAAAAACAAUCUCUUCUUCUAUUUUUACUGAAAAUUAACACUUAAGAAAUUAUUCUUAAGCCAGCCAGAUGGUUCAUGGGGUAAAAGUACUUCAUCGUGCAUCCUAAUGGAUGUCCUGAGUUCUGUCUCUGGAACUCAAGAUAAAAGGAGAGCACCAACUUGAAAGAGGUGUCCAAGCCUGAACACUCCGUAAGGUUAGGAUAACUUUUAAUAGAUUAAAUGUCAACCAACAGGAAGCCAAAGCAGCAAGGCAAGAGAAUACUACCAUGUGCCUUGUCUGUCCCUUAAAAACCUCUCCCACGUCACCCUGACAUCACCUUGACCACACCUGAUGGGCAUGGUCGGGCACACCUGUAGCCAGCCCUUAGAAGGCUGGUCUCCCUACACCAACUCCCAAAAAUUGUGCUCUGACUUCCACACCCAUGCCUUAGCAUGGGCCAGCACAUACUUUCUCUUAAGCACAAUGUUUCUAAAUCUUGAGGUUGCUACUGGCAGCUCUUUAGUGUCAGUUUGGAAUCUGAAGGAACAUUCAAGUUAAAAAUGACUUCCCAGCACAGUCAAGACAUUGUAGUCAUAUACUACAGAAUGCUAUUGAAGAAAGGGAACUAUGAAGCCACACAAAUCCAACUUGUUAGAAUAGUUGAGAAAAAUAUCCUUAUAAUUAAGAAAAAUAUGCUCCAAUUUACCGACCUAGCUAUUUUAUUUGAGUAGAGGAGGUUCUUAACAUUCUUGUAGACUCAGAACCAGUGAUGGUUACAUAUUAAACAAAUCCAAGAAAAAGACCUGAUUUAGGACUUCAUCUUACCUUUCCUCUUAGAAUAUUUUUUAAAAUUUAAAUUUGUUUUUAAGUGGCUUUUAAAAAAUUAUUUUAUUUAAGCAUAUGUGUGAGUAUAUUUCAGUGCCUGUGGAGGCCAGAAGACAGUGUCAGAUUCCUUGAAACUGGAAUUACAGGCACUUAUGAGCUGCUCAGUGUGAGUGCUGGGAACAGAACACCAGUCCUCUAGAAGAAGAACAAGUGUUUAACCACUGAGCCACCUCUCCAGCCUUCCUUUUAGGGUUUUUAGUGAAUAUCAUUUUACCGUUGUUACUACAAACAUAGAAAGUGCCUUUACACUUCUUGGUGUUCAUCUACAAUAAAACCCAUGAGCAAUGGGAGUCAGUUUGGCCAAGCUGCACCACACCACUCCCGGAAGGAAUGUUCACACAUAACCACAGCCUCUAAACUGUGGCAACACAUGUUAUAAUAUAAACAGUACCCACCAAAAUUGUGCACUAUAAGGAUGUAACAAUAAGUCUUUCUGCCAAGUGCCAGAGCCCUACUGACACGUGGGCGCUUUCCGCCAGGCAGCCCAAGUUCUGCCCGCCUCCACGUUAAGGUCCCAAGUAACAUACAGAGACUUAUAUUAGGUACAAAUGCUGCUUGGCCAAUGACUAGGAUUUCUCAUAUGCUAGCUCAGUCUUAAUUAUCAUAAAUCUAUAUAUUUUAUAUAAGACUUGUCGGAGGCCAGCAGAAGCGUCGUGGCUUCCCAGAUUCACAUGGUGACUCCGCCCUUUCUCCUACCUUUCCCAGAAUCCUCCUUGACUCCUAGUCCCACCUAUCUUGUUUUCCUGUUGGCCAACAGUACUUUAUUUAUCAACCAGUAAGACAAUCAUUACACAGAAGGACCUUCCCCACCAUAAGGACAUUGUGUAUUUUUAUAUAUUAAAUUAGGGCAGACUAAUUACUGUAAUAGAUCAACUCAAAAAUAAACAAUGCUUCAAAUUUGUUUCUUCCUGAAGGGAAUCAAUAGCUCAGUAAGGAGUUGUGGAGGCCCUUCUUCACUUAAGCUUUUAGAAAUGGAUUCUCCAAGACUUCCUUGAGGUCUUCUGUUGUAGUAUGUUGGAAAGAGAGGGAGAGUUUUGGAGGUUGUUUUGUUGUUGUUGCUUUUUAAGACAGGGUCUCAUGUAGCCCAGGCCAGCCUAGGUUUGAUAUAUAGCUGAGGAUGACCUGGAACUCCCUGAGUACUUAGACUAACAACAUGUACUACAGCCAAUGUAUGCAGUGUUAGGGAUCAAGCCCAAGGCUCUGAGCAUGCUAGGCAACCACUGAACCAACUAAGCCCAGAAGGAAAGUCUUUUAGGGGUGUGUGUCUCAAAAUAAUAGACAUCAUUCAAUUUUCAUUCCACUGACUAUAAUUUAGUCAGAUAAUGACUAUCCCUAACAGGGAAAAUAGCAUAUGAUGUGUCUCUAUAUGGCCAAAAAGAAAGAACAUGGCUGUUGAUGUCUAGCUGGGAACUGUUACUUGCUUUGGUGUUUACCACCACCACUACCAAUAAACAAAUUCUCAACUGGGAAGUGGCUACAAAAAAAAAAAAAAAAAUCCUCAAACUAUCCAGGCAAUAGUAUUGCCUGGCCAAACGUCUAAAAUUAUAAACAGAAAGUCUGUUACAUAAAUGUCAGUAAAACAAAAAAUUCUACAAUUGUGGUUUUCUCUUCUCCAUAGUUUCAUGUUAAUGUGUGCUUCUAUAUGCACUAGAAAUGACAUAGAAUGACGAUAGCACUCUGACAGCCUGUCACACUAUGGGGAAACCUGUGAAGCACGAUAAGUACUGGCACUUUGAUGGCGGAGGGAGAGGAUAUGACCAAUGAACUGUUGUUACCAUGCCAUCACUAGAACUGGCUUCAGUAUUCACUUCCUGACUUGAUUGUUGCUGGAAGACAAUGGGUGGACAGGGAGGCCAAACAAUGACUUACUGUCACUUUAACUAUUUGAAAAUCUAUUUUUUUAUAAUUUAUUUAUUCUUAUUUUAUGUGCAUUGGUCUUAUUCCUGCAUGUAUGUCUUUGUGAGGGUGUCAGAACUUGGAUUUACAGACAGUUGUGAGCCGCCAUGUGGGUGCUGGGAAUUGAACCCAGGUCCCCUGGAAGAGCAGUCAAUGCUCUUAACCACUGAGCCAUUUCUCCAGCCCCUUGAAAAUCUAUUGUAGAAAACAUGAAUUACAUUUUACAGUCUUAUUCUGAUGCCUCAGCAACCCUCUGGCUGUUUUGUAUUGCAUUAAUUCUGUCACAAGGCAACUAGGGAUAGUUUAAGUACUGAGGAGAUGCAGAGUAAUUUCUCCUUUUUUCUUUGUAUAGAAGAAACUAGGGAUUUUCCUAAGGCUACUUAUUCAUUAUCCAUAUUAACUGUGUAACAUGAUUGCCAAAAAGACUUACAUGAAAAUGCCAAGACUCAAAUGACUUGUGUACAGUUUUUAUAUUAUUUUAUUUCUGAAAAUAUUGUUACCAACAUAUAAAUGCUUUUAUAACUCUAUAUGCUUUCCUUUAGUAAACUAUCUUGUUUUUAAGCUGAACAUUGAAUAGGGAGCAAUUUAUUCAAAGUCAUGCAUUACAUGAAUAAAAUAGCAAAAUUAUACAAUCUUUGUAUCUAAGUUCCCUUGAAAGACCACAGAGUCAGAAAAUGUCUUAGACGACAAAGAGGUAGCCUGUUUGUCUAUUGAUAGUGUCUACUUUUCUUCUUCUUUUUUAAGACAGGAUCUCACAUAGCCAAAACUGGCCUCAAACUCAUGAUAUAGACAAGGCUGAAUGUGAAUUGAUCUUCCUGCCUAUACCACCUGAGUGCUAAGAUUACAGACAGCACCACCACCAUCAAUGUCAGUGUCCAUUUUUCUGCUUCACAUACAACAUUGUAGCACAUACAAUAUAUAUGAUACUAGAAGCACUGUUUUUUUAUUUGAAGUAUAACUAUAUAGAGAAUAUAUAGGUAUAUAAGAAAAGUACAUGCAUGUUAAAUGAAAUAAAAGCUAUAAAUGCUAAGAGUGUGUAAUAUGAAAAUGAAGUAAAAACUAUAAGUAAUUGCUAAGAAUGUGUAAUAUGAAAAUGAAGUAAAGACUAUAAGUAAUUGCUAAGAAUAUAUAAUAUGUAAUAUGAAGUGAUUGAAAAUUGAAAUUACUAAGAUGGAAUUCACUUUCUGGGUAUGCUUCAGUGAUGUAACUUCCUCUAACUAGGGAAGUUACCUGCAUCACAUGGGCCUUCUUAUGAUGCUGAGUCCCAGUUACAGCGCUUUCUAUUACUAGUUGGUGGGGAGGUGGCAGUGGUUUAAAGGUCUUUCUUCCUGUUUAGGCUAUCGGGUUUUUUACUAUGAUGAACUUAAUUUUUUAUGUCUUGUGUGUAUGUUUGUGUCUGUGUGUGUGUGCUCAUGCACACAUAUGCUCCUGUAAGUGUCAGAGGACAACUUGUGGGGAUCAAUUCUCUCCUACCAUGUAGCAUGAAUUCUAGUUGGUAUUAAUAAUAAAAACCCAGCAAUUGGGCUGGAGAGAUGGCUCAGAGGUUAAGAGCACCGGCUGCUCUUCCAGAGGUCCUGAGUUCAAUUCCCAGCAACCACAUGGUGGCUCACAACCAUCCAUUAUGAGAUCUGGUGCCCUCUUCUGGUGUGCAGAUAUACAUGGAAGCAGAGUGCUGUAUACAUAAUAAAUAAAUAAAAUCUUAAAAAAAAAAACAGCAAUAGCUACUGGGGUUAAAGCUGAAGAUCAGAAAAGCAAACGGCCAGCUACUAGCUCUUACCUCUACCUUAGACUGAAAUGGGUGAUCCUGUCUCCAUGGAUCCUCAGACUACAAUGCUCUCCACAAAACCUCGGGGUCAUUGAAUUCCUCUCUCAUUCAAUAUCACUCCUGUCUCUACCUCCCUAGUGCUAGGAUUAAAGGUGUGUUAUCCCAAGUGCUGGAAUCAAAGGUGUGACCUCUGUUUCUCUUUUGGACUGAUUCACUCUCAUGUAGCCCAGGGUGGCCUUGAACUCACACAGAUCCAUCUGCCUCUGUCUCCUGAAUGCUGGAAUUAAAGGUGUGCCACCACUCCCUGGCUUCUAUGGCUAGCUAGAGUGGCUAGCUUUGCACUCUGAACUUCAGAAAGCUUUAUUUGUUAUAUCAUAAACAAAAUAUCACCACAUAUCACAUAGAUCUUAGGGACUGAACUCAGGUCAUCAGGCAUAGCAACAAGCCCCUUUACCCAGUGAGCUAGCUCACCAACCCUGAAUUUGUUAAACAAGCCAUGUAUUCCUAGGAUAAAUAUCAGCUAGUAAUAAUACCAUCAUUUGUAGAUUUUGUUGAAUUUGAUUUUGUAAUGUUUUCUUUGGAAUUAUAUCUAUGUUCAUGAAAGAAACCAGCCUGCAAUUCUCUUUUGUAAUGUCCUUAUAUGAUUUGGGUAUCAGGAUGAUGCUAGCAUUCAAAGAAUAAAUUAGCAAGUAACCUCCUUGCCAGUUCUUUUAGAAGUUUGUACAUUAACUGGUACAUUUUAGCCUCAAUGUUUGGAAAAAUCGAUGAAUGUCUUUGUGGGUAUGUUUUAAACUAUGAAUUCAAUUUUUACACAACCUUUCAGGUUAUCUUGUUCUUCUUGAAUCAGCUUCUGAAUCACUAUUUCAAGGGAUCUAAUUAUUUCAUCUAAGUUCUAUAUCUACCUCCUAAAACUUUCUGUAAUAUCCCUUGUCAUUUAAAUGGGCAUAAAGUUAUAAUACAACCUCUUUAAUUCUUUUUGUUGUUUUGAGAAGUGGGUCUCCUGUAGCCAAGGCUGGCCUCUAAAGCCAGUAUGACUAACUUUUAACUUAUUGUCCUCAACCUCGAAGUGUUGGGUUAUAGACAUGCCCCACUACACCACCAGUCAUAUUGUUAAUGUUUUUUUCUUGUUUUCUUCUCUUUUGUCUAUUUUGUUUUCCUAAUCAUGCUUUACUAAUGGUUUAUCAGUUUCUUUAAUAUAAAAAAUCAGUUUUUCUUUCAUUGAUACAAUGAACUGAUUUUCCUUUUUCUUUCUUUGUAUGUUUAACUUUUCUGCUUUAAUAAAGUUGGGAGAUGAGAUCAUUUUCUAAUAUAGGUAUUUUACUUUUAAAUGCCAUCCCUUACAUAGUACUGCUUUAGUGGAGUGCCACAAAAUUUGAUGUUUUUAUUUUCAUUCAGUUCAAAAUGCAAAAUACCUUCCCCACACCUCCACUGGAGACAGGGUUUCUCUGUGUAGCCCUGGCCAUCCUGGAAGUUAUUCUGUAGACCAGUUUGGCCUUGAACUCAGAGAUCCGUCUGCCUCUGCCUCCCAAGUGCUGAGAUUAAAGGCAUGUACCACCAUUGCUGGGCCAAAAUGCCUUCUAAUUUUACCCGGGGUUCCUUUUUUAAUCACUAGGUUAUCUAGAAGUAUUUUAGUUCAAAAUACUGAGAUUUUUCCAUAUAACUUUCUGUCUGAUUACUAAUUUAAUUUCACUGUGGUCAAAGGACAUAUUUCUCAUUACUUGAAUUCCUUAAAAUUUACAAAGAUAUGUUUUAUGUCUUAGAAUAUAGGCUGGUAAAUUUUUCUAUAAAAGUUCAAUUGGUAAAUAUUUAAGUUUUAUUGGACACAUAGACUCUGGCAUAUAAUUUCUUUUUUUGUAAAAAAAAAAUGGCAAUAUUAAGACCAUACUUUGUUCACAUCCUAUUCAGCAAGGGGCCAGAGUAGCUACAGCACUAUAGUUUGGUGACUUGCUGUGUGUUUCACGUGCCACUUUGAAGAGAAUGUAGUCUACUAUUGUUAGUAGUUGCUCCAGAAGAGUAAAAAAUAAAUAAAUAAAAUGUAAUCUGGUUGAUCAUGCUAACUUUAACUUGUUUAAGUUUGUACUUACACUAGCAAUUAUUGAAGGAGAUGUCAAGGUCUGACUAAGGGCUUGGGCUGUGGUUCCAUCAGUAAAGUACUUGCUGUGCAAAGACAAGAAAUUAAGUUGGGAUCUCCAAAUUUUACAUAAAAAGCUGAGCAUGGGCUAGAGUAAUGGCUCAGUAGUUAAGAGCAUUUACUGCUCUUGCUAAUGACCUGGUUUCAAUUCUUGUAUCUCUACUAUUCAAACACAUGUCAUUAUUAUAAUACUGUUUUAUAUUCCUUUUGCUAAUUCAGGCACACAUGUCCAUAUAAGGUCAUUUUCGUUUGAUUGGUUGUUCUCCUCAUUAUUGGUCACUUCCAGCUUCAUUAUGUACCCAAUAAUAUUUAAUUAGAUACUAGGCAUGUUGCUAGACAUUCUAUUUCUAUACACACAUCUAAGUCUUGUUCUGGGAUGCAAUUACAUUACUUAGAGAAGUCUGAUCCUUUUGGUCUUAACAAUUUGUCAGAGUCCAGUCUACAGCUCACUGUCCUGGGAGUAAUACAAUGACUGAGUGAAUGCAGCAAAGUAAUAGAUAAGCAAAAGGCUUCUUAACCUACAACAUAUUUAAUCCCAUUUCUGAUUUUGAAAAUGAAGAUAGACAUAAUUUCAGGCUUCCUAACUGGCCCUAGAACAGGGACACUGGGAAGAGACUUAACCAUACAUUGCAUCUUAUCCCAUCUAAGUCUGUUUUGGCACCUGGAAAAUGCCAUGGUCAUUUACAAAGUAAUCUAGAAGAGAGAAAAUUGUUAAUCCUACCAAACUAAAAUAUGCAGAAGCCAAGAGAAUUAUACAGCUGCACUGGAUACUAUCCCUUUUCCUGUCUCCUGCACAGUUUCCAAGUGGUUUAAAAAUGAAUCACCUAGAGGGUGGAAAAGGAAAGGGGUAGGUAAUAUAAUUCUAUUUUAUUAAAAAUAUAUAAAAUAAAAAAGGAAUCUGGGCAUAGUGGUGCACACCUUUAAUCCUAGCACUCAGGAGGCAGAGGCAGAGACAGAGAUCUCUGAGUUCCAGGCCAGCCUAGUCUACAAAGGAAGUUCCAGGAUGGCCAGGGCUAUACAGAGAAACCCUAUUUCAAAAAAAAAAAAAAGGAAAAAAAUUAAUCAUCUGAAAUAGUCACAACUUAGGGAAACCAUCUCAUGAGAUCCUUGCUUUGUUCCAUCUGCGUGUGUAAACUUACUAAUACCAGAUUCUAGAGUUCUAUUGUUUUUAAUUAAAUGUUAAGGAUAAUGCUAUCCCAAACAGAUUCCAGUACUAAAAUUAAAUUCUACCCAAUCUUCCAUGUGCAGACACCAGACCACCGAACAGGCACAAGCCAACAAGACUAUUCUUAAACCUAUAGCUGAUGGCACAUCUUAAUGUUCUGAACAAAAUCUGUUCUCUAGACAAGCUUGGGCCUAACCUUUUCCUCUCCUCAGGUAUUAGUGCUUAUAGUGCUGUCCUUUUAAAGAAGGGGAUACACACAGUGUAUGAAGCCCUUUUGUUUUGUUGAAUCAGAUAUUUAUCACAGAGGAGCAAUCUUUGUUUGGCCUACCAGCUGGAACUGAAUCUCCCUUAAAAAAUAAAACAGGGUGACUAGGCUUUGCCCUUUAACUUUUAAAUUUCCCUUUUAGAAGUAAUAAAACCCUUGAGUAUAUUAGAGUAUUACUAGAUAGGAAUCCUAGGAAUCAGAAAACUGCUAAGUGGUUUUGUGACCUUAUUCUUUUUUCUACCAAUGCAAGAGUCAUUUAAGAAUACUUUUACUCUAGUCUUCUCAUGCCCAAUACCACGUUCAUGCUUCUUAUUUUUUUUUCUAAAAUUAUCCUGGUCUGAACUCUAUGCCUGAUGUGCUGAGCUUCAGAGACAAGAACACUCUUGCGCUGCUGCAUUUUUCUUGGGAAGCACUCAAGGUUUUGUCUGUGUGUCUUUCCUAUGGUAAUGUGUUCAAUGUGAGGCUUGCCCUCUUAAUGGGCUUUUAAGUAUACUGAAAUGUUCUUAUUGUAUUAAUUUGAGAAUUGGGGUACUUAAGAGUUACACUCCCCCAAAAAGGAGGAAAAAGAAGGGAAAGCCAAAGGGGAAGGGAAGAGUCUGGGGAGGAAGGGAAGAGACUGGUUACACAUUGGAUGGUGUGAGUGGUUUCAUAAGAGUACAAAGAUCUCUGUCUCUUAUAGUUGGAGCUUGGAUCCACAUUUUACCUAUAGCGUUGCCAUCAUUUAUCAGCAUGGGCCACAGUCUCCUGAUAUUACAGUUGGAUGUGAAGAAUAGUUAUUACAGCCAGACAGUUUGCAAAGCAAGGCUGAGUGGUACAUGCCUAUAAUCUCAGCAGUUAGGUAGCUGAGACAGGGGGAUCAUGAUUUAGAGGCCAGCCUCAGCUACAGUGCGAAAAUCUGUCUCAAAAAAUAAAAAGUCCUUCUUCAUAGAUAGCUGAAAAAUAUCACUACUCUUUGGAAGGUGAGGUAUGGUGCUAGCUAUAACAUUAAAUCACUCUAUUUGCUCAGUAAGACUGUUUUGUGCACUUGUAAUGAUGAAGUAUGAGAUAAUACAAAGGGAUGCUUCAGAACAUUCAUUCUGAAUUCUCAGUUUCUGUGACACACUCAUGUUCAAGGGAGAUAAGCAUCAAUUAGUCUACUCCACAGCCUUCUAUAAAUAGCCUUGGCUAAGCUGUAAAGGAAACUAAAAGGGACAUGUUAUACAACCACAAACCGGCCUAGAACCUUGCCUCUAAGAGUCCAGCUUGAAACACUGCAGGGGUGGGGAGUGGGACUGUUUCUGUGUGUCCAGAGGAUUAAAAGCCACUGGGGUAGAAAAAACAUGGGGCUCUUCCUAAAAUACCAUGUUUACACUCAGACUUUGAAAAAAAAAACUGUAAUCAUUGUAUUUAAACCAAUGGAACAUUUGUACUAAAUUUAGGGCAAAACAUAAAGCUAAAGAAAACCUAGUUUGGAGCCAGGCUCUUAAGGCACUUACUUGUUCACUCUUCUAGUAAUCUUACUUUUGUUUAAAAAAACAAAAACAAUUUGAGCCGCAGUAGCCUUAAUGACUAUCCAUAACUUUGCUAGAUGGAGACGGAUAGCAAUGAUGAUUAUGCAAAUACCACUAAACUAUAUAUUUAAAAUGUGUUGGAUAUAUUUUAUGUUAUAACUAUUACAUACAGUCUUGUUUUCUGUCAGAUUUACCUGUUUUUAGUUUCUUUAAAAUUAGGUAUACUGUCCAUAGCUAUUUUCCUGACUUCACAGGGCCUUAAAAGUUAACCAUAUGGGGUCAUCAAGUAAUUGAACAUCAACAGCAAAAAUUUAAGAACUAAAUUAAUAUAGAGGCUCUUAUGAAAAAAAAGUAUUCCCUAUAAACUCACCUGUUUGAAUAAGUUUCUUUAGAGCUGCCUUUAAUAGUCAACCUAUUUUAAGCAGUAAGAGAUCUGAUACAUCUUACUUUGUUGGUAGAAAGGUAGCACUCAACUCGGCUGUUCUAAAGAACUGGUCACAUGUUCUCAGUCAUGGAUCCCAGAAACCAUAAUACCAAUUUAUUUCUGUUUAUUAAAAAUAAAUAAGAAAGUCAAGUUCAUAGACUCCUGAUUUCCUGUCCUCAACUUCCAGAUACAUCCCAAAUCAUUGAAAUCUCUGUCAUCAGAUUUAAUCUGAAGUUUGCUACUCAGCAUAAAGUCUUAUUACCCAAUUAAUUUUAUUACAUUUAUUUAUUUUGCAUACAUUUAUGCACAGUAUGGGAGAAGGUGUCUGUGGCUCAAGCUCAGGUCAUCUGGUUUGGCAGCAAGCACCUUCAUUCCCUCCACUUUUUAAACUUUAUUUCUGCAAAAAUAGCAAGAUAACUUUAUUCAAAGCAACAGGAUAGUACAGAUUAAAACAGAUGUCAACAAGAUUGACAGUGGGCCACAUGAGUGAGGAUUCUCAAGGGCUUCAAUUUUUUUAAAUAAACUGUCAAGAACAGAUUCAUUUUUAUUAUUUAAGAGUCUCUUUUAUAUCUAAUUUUACUUAUCAAAAUAUAUGAAUUUUAAUAGAAAAGUGAAUGCUAACUAUUAGUAUAUAUUUCAGAACAUAUAUAAAAUUCUAGCUGUCACCUUUUGAGAGGGUUAAAUUAAUCUAACCAGAAGAAAGCCUAGACUGUGAAGGGUUAAAUAAUAAAACUACUAAGGAAGCAUUAAAGAGACCAUUAAGGCUGCUUAGCAAGUGGUGACUUGGUUGUCAUUAGGACUGAAAGUAAUAAUGGUCAUAUUUAAAGAGCUGCUACAAGUAAGUGAGACAAAUUUGUUCUUAUAGCUUCAGGGGUACUUGGACAAUAGGUGCAGUAAGAAAGAGGUGUGUUUUGACUCUAUAGUUUCUGUGGUUCCAAACCUGAAUAGACUCAAUUCCUUUUAAGACAUUCUCAAGACGUUUACAUUAAAGGGCAGUGUUUCAAAGCACUGCUUACUGCCUCAUCCAAAGUCAGCACUUUCACAUCCACCUCAGAAAGUAGAUGACUGAAGCAAAGGAGCUUGUCCUCUAGUUAUUCUUACUGGUAGAGAGUAAAGAAAAUCUUAGUUAUUAAUUGUAAGUCAAUUUUACUACAGUCCAUGGUGAUUUGUGCUAAAGAACAUGAAAAGCAAAAUGAUGAAUAUAGGAAAGAUAAGUAAAAACAACUCUUAGUCUACACUGAACAGAGUUGGAAAUGCUGUUCAUAUGAAUUUUCACUUCUAGAAAUUGGGGCUAUAAACAAUGCAAGGUUAAUUUCCCAAAACAGAAAUACACCUCCUGGCACACAUGUAAACACCCCCCCCCCACACACACACCAUGUAACUGAGUCUAAUCACCUUUAGGAGUCACAUGACAAAAGGUAAAGUAUGCACAUUGAUCUUUCAUGAAACAUAUCUAUCCCACUUGUACAAUAAAUCUACACCUAAACAAUAUGUUCUCUUAAUAUGGUCAUUGAAGCAUAUUAAGCAUAUAGUUCUAAGUCUACAGAGAUAGCUCAGUUGGUAAAGUACUUGCCUUGAAGGCCAGAGGACAUGAGUUCAAUACCCAGAGCCUAUAUUUAAAAAAGAAAAUCAAGGCGUGGUAAUGUGCAGUUGUAAUCCAGCACUUGGGAAGUAGAGACAGAUAAAUCCCUGGGGCUAGUUUCAGGCUCAAAAAGCAAAAACAAACAAACAAACAAAAAGGUAGAUGGGGCCCAAAGAAUAGCGCCCAGUAUUAUCCUUCAGCCUCUGUAGAUAUAUUCACAUAUUUGCAUCUGCCCCCACCAGAGGACAAAACAUUUAACCCAUACCAUGCAAAUAUCCUCUAAAAAGGGUUUCUUUCCAAGUAUCCAUUAGCUACAGGGAAAAAUUAUCUAACUUAUUUGAACAAAGGAAAUAUCAACCUAAAAUAAAUCUUAUUUGAGUAGAAUACAUAUAUGAAUAAAUUCACAGGACAAGCGCUCCACAUUCCUACCAACAAAUUACUAUGUGAUCUCUAGGUACAUAAUUUCGAUGAUAGACCAGAUGCUUAUAUUUAAAUAGUUGUUCAUCUUGAGAUGUGACACUUUAUAGACCUUGAAAAAAGAAAUAAAAAAAUACCCUAUGAAUUUUCAAAACAGAAGUACAGUAAAAUACUUUUUAAAAAACCAUUGUUUUAUUUAUGUUUUAAAUAGUACCACAGCCACACAAGACAUGGAAAAUGGCGGUGUGCUGGCCAAGGUGGCAUGGUGGGUAAAGACACUUGCUGCCAACUCUGAUGACCUCACUUUGGUCCCCAGGACCCACAUGGUUUAGGGAGAAAACCAACUUCUCUACCUGUCUUUUGACCUCCAGGUGCCUUUGACACAUGAGUCCCCCUCCCCAUGACAUAUAUACACAUAAUUUAAAAAACAGAGAAUGGUUGUUUACAUGUUUCCUUUGCUAUACAAUAUACAAUUAUAAAGUCAGUGGCUGAAAACAAAAAUUUAUUGCCUUAUGGUUUUGAGGGUCUAAAACCCAAAGUGAGUCUCAGUACCACAAAACCAAGAUGAAGGCAGAGCUGUGAUUCCUCUGGUGGCUCUAGGAAACCCAUUUCCCACUUCUAGAGCUCACAAGCUAUUCCUUGGCUCUCAGCAUCCUCCUAUCUUCAAACCAUCAAAACCUGGUUGCCUUUCUCUCAUGUCAUCACUGCCACCUCUCUCAUGGUUCCUUCUUCGACACUUAGUAGACCCUAUAAUUAUACAGGAUCUACAAAGAUAAUCUGAAAUAAUCAAGUUUUAGACCACAUGGUGGUCUUAAUUUCAUCCACGUCAUGAGUUCCCUCUUAACUUGUUUGUUACAUUAUGUGUUCAGAUUUCAGAGGUGAAGCCACAGCCACCUUGAACAUUCUGGUAGGCCUUGUUCAGUUUGCCAUAUGUACAAUUAGCUUUUCCUAUGGUUUUCUUCAGAACCUCCAUAUCCGAUCAUCCAUCCAGAGACUCUGUAGCCUGUUCACAUGUACAUUACUCUAGAGAGUGUGUCUAUAUGUUUCAAAGUUUAACAAUCAUGGGGUUUGCUCCUAGACCAUUCAGUUUCUUCACAGCAUGCUCUAUAGCCGUGUCAACAGUGCACAGCUUUAGAUUGGCUUUCUAAUUCAUAUUUUAAACUAUAACCAUAAGACCCUUGAUUUGAGUUGAAAGUUUUCCUUGUAUUUCUCUAUGUUUUUAUAAGUUGUUGUAAUCAUCUGAAUUAUACUUCAUACUUGGAUUUGUAAACAUUUUUCAAUAUUAUCAGACAUCAUUUUGAUGAUGGUAAUAAACCCAGUAAAUUUUCUCUCAAUUUACUAAAAACAAACAAACAAAAAAAAAAAAAACAAAAGCCUAACUUACUAUUAGCUAUUUCACCUUUCACUCCCACUUUUGCUAAAACAUUUAAUGCUGAAUAAAUAUAUUCCGGUAUGAUUUCUGCCCAGAUCCUUCCCCCUUGACAAGAUGUCCAAAAUUUGAAAUUUUACUGGGAAAUGGUACCAAGCAGCCACUCAGUGGCUCAUGCCAAAACCCUAGGAGUCACUCUUGUGUACCUCCUUGUUUCUAUUCUCCAUAUCCAAAGACCCCUACGCCUCUAUAGUCUUACCUGUGCUUCCUCACAGAUGAACAGUGAAUCACAGCGGUCUUCCCUUCUCAGAACACUAACACAUUGUCUCUUUCACUGCCUGCAUGGUUGUUCUUCUGUUUCUAUUUCUCCCAUAAGUUCCUGCCCUAUCUUAGUAAGAACUUAUUAGAUCUCCACUGAUCAGCCAGAGAGAUAUCUCAGUGGGUGAAGUGCUUGCUGCCAAGUCUAACAACUUAAGUUCAGUUACCAAAACCACAUGGUAGAAAAAGAGAACUGAGGUCUCCUGGCUCCAAGUGCACUCACUCUGUGGCACUUUUACCCCUUCUUCCCAACACCCAAAAUUGCUUAUGUCUGGUGCUAGCUCCCCAGUAGUAUAUGGUUUUCACAGCACCUGUACUUUCCUGUAAAUGGUGAGAGUUGUAAUUUGUAAGAUCAUUAAUACCUGUUCUUUUCUCAUUAGAUUAGACAGUAGAGGAAAAGAUAUGGUUAUUUUCUUCGCCCUUAACAUUCUCAACAUCUAACGAAAAUACAAAAUACACACAGCACAGAGUAAGCGCUAAGUAGUUACUUAGGAAUAUUUACCUGUAUACUGAAAGUAAUUCCUUUUUCUUUUAUACCUCAUUUCCCUCUCAUUGCCUCCCAGCUCCAAGUUCAAGUGCUCGUUAUUUCUUGCCUGGAUGCAGCUGUCUCCAAAGGGGUCUCUGCCAGUAUGCUCAUUAAGAAAAUUCCAUGUUUUUUUAAAGAUUCAUUUUAUUUUUAAUUUGUAUGUAUUUGUAUGUCCAUGUGGAUGUGAAUGCAAUGCUGAGAUGGAAUUGUAGGCAGUUGUAAGCUGCCACACAUGCAUGCUGAGGGAAUGGAACUCAGGUCCUCUUAAAGAGCAUUAUGUACUCUUAACCUCUGAGCCACCUACCUCUCCAGCCCUACAAAAAGUAAAUUUCUAAAAUACAAAUUUCAUAUUAAUUGGUUUAAGAUUUUCCAAUUGCAACAAUAUAAAAUUGGCACAUAAAGCCAUUCAUGGUCUAACCCCUAUAUAGUUGAGCAGGCUGGCCUUCCUCAUUGCUUUCAAAAAUACCCAAGCUACAGAUUACAGCAAACUAUCAAGCUAUCUGAAAUGCCAGGUUCUUACACUCUAAUGAUUCUACUUAGAAUGCUAUCUAAAGUCCAUUUCUUCUUUCUCUUCUAUACCAACAUAACUCAUUCCAGUCCCAAUCUGGGAAGUUUCUUCCAAGAUGUCUUGAAACACACAGCAUAAUUACACCUCUUUUAAAAGCUUCCUGAGUCAUCCCUUCUCAUGGAUUACAUGAUCUUCCUCUUUAUUUUUCAUGCUAUAGUUGUUUGGAAAUUCUGUUUUUCACUAUUUAUUCAACUAAAUCUCUACCAAAAGAGAUUACUGGCUUUAUUUUUUUUUUUUAAAAAAAUCUCUAUCUCCAAUUCUAAUUUAAAUUCUGGUAAAUGUUUGUUUUAUUCUGUAUGAGAAUAUAUUAAAACCCACAGUAAGAAUCACAUUUCUACUUCUACAAAAUCUUCCAAUCAACUGAAAAAAACAUUAAAUUAAAAGGGUGCAUAUUGGGUUGGAGAGAUGGCUCAGAGGUUAAGAGUACUGACUGCUCUUCCAGAGGUCCUGAGUUCAAUUCCCAGCAACCAUAUGGUGGCUCACAGCCAUCCAUUAUGAGAUCUGGUGUCCUCUUCUAGUGUGCAGGCAGAACACUGUAUACAUAAUAAAUAAAAUCUUUUUUAAAAGGGGGCAUAUUAUAAAAAUGUUCACUUCAGAAUAAUAAUAGAAAAAACUAGAAAUAAGCUAAAUGUUCAGGAAUAGAAAAUUCUAAUGAUAUAUUUCAGAGCAACUUAAAAUGAAGAUUGUAAAAACUAUAUAGUAACUCAUACAUUCAUGAUAUUUUAGGUGAUAAAGGAUUAAGAGACCUAUGAUACUAUAUAAUUUUAUAUAUAGACAAUGACUGAAAAGGAACACGGAAACUACAUGAACUGUUGAUGUGGCUAUGACUUCAUUUCUUUUAUCCAGAACAUUAUAAAUGUCACUAUAGUAGUCUUUCUUUUAUAUUUAAGAUCAUAUAAAUUUACAUUUAUAUCCUCAGCAUAAUGUAAGAUUUGUGUAUAAAUAUUUGUGACCAUAAAUGCACACAAAUAUAUACAUGCACAUAUUUCUCAGCUCUGUCUCCUACACGCUCCAAGAAGCAGAUAAUCCAGUAUCUAUAGGCAUGCUGAACCUUGGUCCCUGGUACCAUUUUCCACUAAUGUAGAAACAGGCCUUUUAAAAAGGAAAUGGGCUCCUUAGAUAAAAAGGAUUAUUCCAGGGCUAAAACAAGGUAAGUAUGAGAUAAGCAUGUACUACCUCAUUAUACAAGCAAGUAAGAGAGUACUUUUUAAAAAAUGAAGUAAUGUUAACAGAAGCCACAAUAGAAGUGCUCUACUAGCUACACAUAAGACAAUCUGAAUAUCUACAUAGUUAAAUACAUAGUUGAGCAUUAGAGGUGAAAGGCAAUGAUAUAUGUAACUUACCCCAAGUGAUUCCAAAAAUUAGUACACAAAUAUGCAAACAAAAAUACAGGGAGAGUGGCUGGAGAGAUGGCAGAGCAGUUAAGACACUUUCUGCUUUUGCAGAGGAUUUAGUUUGCAACACCCACAGGGUGGCUCACAACCAUCUCUAACUCCAGUUCCAUUGGAUCUGAUACCAUAUUCUGACGUCUAAAGGCACCAGACUCACAUGGUAGACAUACAUACACAUAGGUAAAAACACUCAUACAUAUAAAAAAUCUAAAUUUUAAAAAAUAUUGCACAUGCCAUUAAUCCUAGCACUCAGGAGGCAGAGGCAGGCAGAUUUUUUAUUUCGAGGCUAGGCUGAUCCACGGAGUGAGUUUCAGGACAACCAGGGUUACACAGAGAAACCCUGUCUCAAAAAACAAGUGUGUGUGUGUGUGUGUGUGUGUGUGUGUGUGUGUGUGUGUGUGUGUGUGUAUUGUAGAGGGAAAUCAUAAAUGAGGACAGGCAAAUACAGAAAUGGAAUGCAAAAAUCCAGAUCUACUCAUGUAGAUAAUGAAUAGGUAAGUAGGGAAAACAGAAGGGCCUUGUUCACAAGAGAAUGCUGUGGGCUGAAAAUGUGGAGAGGCUAAUAGAUUUGUUCAGUCAUUUUGCCUCCAUCAUGUAAACUGUAUCAGUAAUUAUGAAUGUUGAAUAUGAAGGAAACUUCUGAUGACUAGGAUACAAUGUCAAAUGGCUCCUCACAAAUUGCAUUCUAUUUCUAGAAAGGGAAAAACAAAACACAGUAACAACACAGUGGGAAGUUUGGGUCACAUAUUGAUAAGGUGACCAAAAUGACAAUCAUCAGUGAGUGGAUGGAUAUCAUGUAUGUUCUAGACGUGAUACUCUGAGAAACAGGUAACAGAAUCUGUGCAGUUGUCAGUUGACAAUGCAUAAUGUCCAUCUAAUUGUGAGGAAACAUCAAACACAAUGAAUAUUCUAAAAAAGUGUGUAGUUCCCUUCAAAUACAGCUUGAAGCUAUGUCCUUCUGAUCCAUCAAGGACUUAAAAGACAAAGACUGAAAGUUUUCCAAAGCAAAGGGUGCAGAGAGAGACAGAGACAGACAGAGAAACAGAGAGAGAGAGAGAGAGAGAGAGAGAGCGCGAGAGAGAUAUGCUAAUUAAGUGCAUCAACUGUCCCAAGACAGGCUCCUGUAAGGGAGGGAGGAACACUAUAAAGGGCCAGCCUCAAAAAUUAUAACACGAUGGUAAAAAUACAUUCAAGUGUAAGCUUAGUUUAUCAAGUUGUCAUGAAAUACACUCCCAGGGAUAAAGAAUCGAACAGUCAGGACCCAUGUUUGCCUGAGAAAAGUUCAGGGGCGGGGAGGUAGGGUUAAAAUACAUGUGUAUUUGGAGAGAAAGUGAACUCCUCCUUCCACAAGAGGCAGCAAAUGACAUGAAUGAUCUUUUAGCUUUUUGUAACUUUAUAAAUUUGAAAUUAUUUGUUGUUUUUUUUUACUUCUAGUUCAUUUUUAAGAAACAACAGAAAAGGGGUCUUGAAAACUGCUAAAUAAGCUGGGUGUAGUGGCGAACUGGGGAAGCAAAAGCAGAUAGAUCUCUUCGAAUUCUAGGCUAAUCUGGUUUACACAGUGAAUUCCAGGACAGCCAGAACUACACAGUGAGAGCCUGUUGGGGCUGGGAGUGGAUGAAAAGAAAGAAAACUGCAAACUGCUAAAUAGUUUUUAAACAAUUUGCUUGUGUGUUCUGUUUUCAAGUUACUGUUCAAAAUGUUUUCUGAUUCUGAUGUCUGUUUCUUUUUGAAUUAUGAUGCUUUUAUAGUUUUAACUAAAUAAGUUGGUAUGUUGAAGCCAGAAUUCCAUCAGUUGUAGCUUACUCAUUAGAAACAGUAUGGGGGGAGGGUCACUGAGAUUUCAAGAACUUUUUCCAAAAAAAAAAAUCCACAUUUACCAUUCAUUUGCUGGUAAUUGCAUUCUAGUUUACAAAAGCAAAAGCCUCAGAUUUUUAACUAUGACUUGGAUUCUACUCUAUGACAAGAGCACACAGAGCUAAAACUGAGUGGGAGGAAGUAGACAGGACUCUCUAGUCUGAUAAGGUGUAGCAUGUUUUGUAGUUGUAAAGUUCAAAUUGAAUAUUCUUCCAAGGUUUUUUACUCAUGAGGGUGAUGAUUGAUGUAAAAUCACUUUUUUCCCCCUUUGAAACUUAGCCCAGGAAUUUGCACCCUCUUGUGGUGGAAAGUAAUUUUUCCCCACUGACUUUCUGUUCAGGCACAAGAAUUCUGUAACUAGAUUUUGGUUUCUCCCAUUUUAGUGACUCAGUAAGGAUUUAUGGUUUGCUACAUAAAAUUUUAUACAAAACUGGACAAAUACUCUAAAAGAGAUGGCCACAUAAAUUAUAGUCUGAGCAAAAUGUAGGUAGCAGAACACUGCUCAGCAUGUCACUUCUUGAUCUGAUUGUUAAAAUCCACUUCUCUUCCAGUUGUACCUCAAUAAUGCAAACCAUGGCAGCCUUCUCCUAUUCCCUUAGUCUUUAAAUCUUAAGGAGGUCUCCUAUCUUCUGUUUUAACACUCAUAAUAACAGGAUACAUCUUUUUAUAUUCAAAACUUACACUUCUUUGGGGUGUGGUGGCACAAGCCUGGAAUACCAACACCCAGGAGACUAAAGCUGGAGUAUUAUCAGUGUGGGCUACAAAGUUGAGUUCUAGGCCAGCCUGAACUCUAUAAAAAGAUAUGGUUUUUAAGUUAUGAUUCAUCGCAAGUUGUUUAUAAUAAAAACUAGAGCAAACAUAGCCAAUAUUUGUGGUUUUUAGACAGUUGGGUUCUUACAAAAAAUUAAUUUGAUAGGGCUGGAGAAAUGGCUCAGCAGUUAGAACAAUUGUUAAUUUUGCAGAGGACAGGCUUGGUUUUAGCACCCACAUUGUAGAUCAUGACCACCCAACCUCAUGGAACUCCACACCCUCUUCUGACAUUUGAGGGCACAUAUGGGAUGCACAUACAUAUGUGUAGACAAAACACUCAUGUAAAGGAAAUGAUUUUUAAAAAUCCAUGAGAAUUUAAAAAAAUGUAACUAAACAUAACCCUAAAGUCUAGUCACUUAGAGCAAUAACAGUUUUUCUUUUUAAAAUUUUCGUCUUAAUUGCCCAAGUGGCAGGAAGGAUGUCUUGCAAGCAAAUAAUCAAAAGAUGCUUUUGUAAGAAAAGUGUUAAAAUAGUAACUUAUUUUUUUUUUGUCCUGUCACAGAGCCGUUUUAAAAGUCGGUUUGCCUAGCUCCUGUACUCUCACCAGCUGUUAAGACGGCAGCGUUUCUAAUCUGAACAUCAGGUAUCAUCUGUAAAACAAAAAUACUAUCUACUUCAUAGAGGUGUUGUGGGCAGUGAAAACGUCUUAUCCACAAAGCGCUUGACACAGUAGGCACUAUAGUAUCAGUACCCCGUGGCUCUUUACAACUUUCUCAGGGCUUCAUACAACGGAAAGCUAUCUUUGUGAAUCCAUAAUUUACUACACCAUUUAAUUUUUUUGUCUUGUUUUUGAAAAGCACCCUAGUGACGUCCAAAAGAUUGUACAUCUCCGUCUCCAAACCAGAACCGAAAGCUCGGGUGAAAGGCUUGAGGACGGUGGGCGGGUCGCGCGCCUCUGGAGGGAGGAGAGAGUCGGCGGGUGUGACAGCCGCGCACUGGCCGUCGGACUGAACCGUGAAGUCCCUACCUCGUGAGGUGGUUCGAGGCUUAGGUGCGACAGAUCUGUGAGGCGCUGGUGGAGGGCGAGGGCUCCACAGCGGCGCACUCUUAAGUUCCAGAGCAGCCAUGCAAGCCUCAGAGGCACCGUCGGUGGUUAGGAGUCUAUUUAAAGGCGUUUUUUGUUUGUUUUGUUUUUACGAAACGCUUAAGAUGGACCCUAAUUUGUUUCCUCUCAAAGGUAGAGAACUUGUGUGUCCCCGGAGUGGUGUCUGAAAGGUGAACAUCUCCACCGCGGCACAAGGGCGACGCUGGCACACACGCACGCGCGAG
ensembl:lncRNA